rnacentral:lncRNA from 1 species
AUAUUGAGUAGAGAUGGAGUAAUAAUUAACUAAUUAAGCCUUUCUAAAUUUCUAUUGAGUGGAAGAGUGUGUUGGGAGAGGAAGACGGGGACUAGGGCAUGAAAAAGUAGGGUGCAAGUUCCAAAUGCCCAAUUUUUAUAUAGAAUUGAAAAUGGAGUCGUUCAAGUAAAAUCGUCCAAUUCACCACGUAAGAGUAUCCACAUCAAACUCAACAAAUUCGAACCACAUUAUAACUCAAAAAUCAUAAAUUCUAUUUCAGCUAAUCACUUUUUUAACAUGUUUUCAUCAGCCUAUUUAUUCUAAUUAUAU